rnacentral:rRNA from 1 species
AUUGAACGCUGGCGGCAGGCCUAACACAUGCAAGUCGAACGAGUGGCGGACGGGUGAGUAAUGUCUGGGAAACUGCCUGAUGGAGGGGGAUAACUCCUGGAAAAGGUAGCUAAUACCGCAUACCCUCGGAUGUGCCCAGAUGGGAUUAGCUAGUAGGGGGGGUAAAGGCGCACCUAGGCGACUAUCCCUAGCUGGUCUGAGAGGAUGACCAGCAGAACUGGAACUGAGACACGGUGCAGACUCCUACGGGAGGCAGCAGUGGGGAAUAUUGCACAAUGGGCGCAAGCCUGAUGCAGCCAUGCCGCGUGUAUGAAGAAGGCCUUCGGGUUGUAAAGUACUUUCAGCGGGGAGGCGUUACCCGCAGAAGAAGCACCGGCUAACUCCGUGCCAGCAGCCGCGGUAAUUC